rnacentral:rRNA from 1 species
AUGCCCUAGUAACGGCGAGUGAAGCGGCAACAGCUCAAAUUUGAAAUCUGGCUUCGGCCCGAGUUGUAAUUUGUAGAGGAUGCUUUUGGUGAGGUGCCUUCUGAGUUCCCUGGAACGGGACGCCAGAGAGGGUGAGAGCCCCGUAUAGUCGGCCACCGAUCCUCUGUAAAGCUCCUUCGACGAGUCGAGUAGUUUGGGAAUGCUGCUCAAAAUGGGAGGUAUAUCUCUUCUAAAGCUAAAUAUAGGCCAGAGACCGAUAGCGCACAAGUAGAGUGAUCGAAAGAUGAAAAGCACUUUGAAAAGAGGGUUAAAUAGCACGUGAAAUUGUUGAAAGGGAAGCGCUUGUGACCAGACUUGUGCCGGGCCGAUCAUCCAGUGUUCUCACUGGUGCACUCGACCCGGCUCAGGCCAGCGUCGGUUUUCGCGGGGGGAUAAAAGCUUCGGGGACGUGGCACCUUCGGGUGUGUUAUAACCCGUUGCUUAAUACCCCCGCGGGGACCGAGGUUCGCGCUCUGCAAGGACGCUGGCAUAAUGGUCAUCAGCGACCCGUCUUGAAACACGGACCAAGGAGUCGAGGUUUUGCGCGAGUGUUUGGGUGUAAAACCCGCACGCGUAAUGAAAGUGAACGUAGGUGAGAGCUUCGGCGCAUCAUCGACCGAUCCUGAUGUAUUCGGAUGGAUUUGAGUAAGAGCGUAUAGCCUCGGACCCGAAAGAUGGUGAACUAUGCCUGAAUAGGGUGAAGCCAGAGGAAACUCUGGUGGAGGCUCGCAGCGGUUCUGACGUGCAAAUCGAUCGUCAAAUUUGGGCAUGGGGGGCGAAAGACUAAUCGAAACCAUCUAGUAGCUGGUUACCGCCGAAGUU